GGUCAAGCAAUGAAGCGCACUUGGUGGAUGCCUUGGCAACUAGAGGCGAUGAAGGACGUCGUAGCCUGCGAAAAGCUUCGGGGAGUCGGCUAGCAGACUUUGAUCCGGAGAUGUCCGAAUGGGGAAACCCACCCGACUUGUCGGGUAUCCUCACCUGAAUACAUAGGGUGUGGAAGCAAACCCGGGGAACUGAAAUAUCUAAGUACCCGGAGGAAAAGAAAUCAAUCGAGAUUUCCUUAGUAGCGACGAGCGAACGGGAAUCAGCCCUUAAGCAGGUUGGAACAUAUUAAUGUUGAAGUUAGCAGAAGUGUCUGGAAAGGCACACCAUAGCGGGUGAUAGUCCCGUAUGCGAAAACUGCCAAUCAGUGAAAUCGAGUAGGGCGGGACACGUGAAAUCCUGUCUGAACAGCAUCGCGCUUCGGCGCGGUGCGAGGGGGGACCAUCCUCCAAGGCUAAAUACUCCUAGUUGACCGAUAGCGAACCAGUACCGUGAGGGAAAGGCGAAAAGAACCCCGGAAGGGGAGUGAAAUAGAACCUGAAACCGGGUGCGUACAAGCAGUGGGAGCCCUUGAUGUCCCGUUUGUUUCUUCGGAAACACCUUUGGGACGAAUAAGGGUGACUGCGUACCUUUUGUAUAAUGGGUCAGCGAGUUGCUGUUAGUGGCAAGGUUAACCGUGUAGGGGAGCCGUAGGGAAACCGAGUCUUAAUAGGGCGAAUGAGUCGCUAGGAGCAGACCCGAAACCGGGCGAGCUAGCCAUGGCCAGGGUGAAGGUUCGGUAACACGAACUGGAGGCCCGAACCCACCUAUGUUGAAAAAUGGGGGGAUGAGCUGUGGCUCGGAGUGAAAGGCUAAUCAAGCCCGGAGAUAGCUGGUUCUCCUCGAAAACUAUUUAGGUAGUGCCUCUUGUAUCACCGCCGGGGGUAGAGCACUGUUUGGGCUAGGGGGUCAUCUCGACUUACCAAACCCAUGCAAACUCCGAAUACCGGUGAGUGCAGCAAGGGAGACAGACGGUGGGUGCUAAGGUCCAUCGUCGAAAGGGAAACAGCCCAGACCGCCAGCUAAGGUCCCAAAGUGAUAGUUAAGUGGGAAACGAUGUGGGAAGGCACAAACAGCCAGGAGGUUGGCUUAGAAGCAGCCACCCUUUAAAGAAAGCGUAAUAGCUCACUGGUCGAGUCGGCCUGCGCGGAAGAUGUAACGGGGCUCAAACUAUCCACCGAAGCUGCGGGUUCGUGAACACCUUCGGGUGUUCAUGGGCGGUAGAGGAGCGUUCUGUAAGCCGUUGAAGGCGAGCCGUGAGGCUUGCUGGAGGUAUCAGAAGUGAGAAUGCUGACAUGAGUAACGAUAAAGGGAGUGAAAAUCUCCCUCGCCGAAAGACUAAGGGUUCCUGCGCCACGCUCAUCGGCGCAGGGUGAGUCGGCCCCUAAGGUGAGGCCGAAAGGCGUAGCCGAUGGGAAACGGGUCAAAAUUCCCGUACCAAUGAUGACUGCGAUGGAGUGACGGAGAAGGCUAGGUCAUGCCUGGCGAUGGUCGUCCAGGUCCAAGCAUGUAGGCUGGGUUCUUAGGAAAAUCCGGGAGCCUUUCAAGGCCGAGAUGUGAUGGCGAACUCCUCCUAUGUGGGGAGGAAGUGGCUGAUGCCAUGCUUCCAGGAAAAACUUCUAAGCUUUAAGGUCAUCAUUGACCGUACCGCAAACCGACACAGGUAGUCAGGUAGAGAAUACUAAGGCGCUUGAGAGAACUCGGGUGAAGGAACUAGGCAAAAUAGCACCGUAACUUCGGGAGAAGGUGCGCCCCCAUUAGGUGAAGACACUUGCUGUCCGAGCCGAAGGGGGCCGCAGAUACCAGGUGGCUGCGACUGUUUACUAAAAACACAGCACUCUGCAAACUCGCAAGAGGACGUAUAGGGUGUGACGCCUGCCCGGUGCCGGAAGAUUAAGUGAUCAGGUUAGCCUUCGGGCGAAGCUUGUGACCGAAGUCCUGGUAAACGGCGGCCGUAACUAUGAGCUAAACUCUGACCAUUGUAGUUACGUAAAUAAACUUGGCUAUAUGCUGGAAUAUCCGGUGUAUCUGGUGGUACUCGUUUGACAUCUCAUUUGACAAUGACGUUCAAACAGUGACAAUCCAUCCAGUGCGGACAAUCAGCAGGAAAGGUUCCUGUCAUGGCUUCGAAAGAUCAACACAAGAUUCCUGACCGAAUCGGUUAUUACCUCGCGGGGUUUGCCGACGGUGAAGGAAGCUUCAGCCUCUCUUUUCGUAAGCGCAAAGAUUAUUCACAGCCGUGGAAAAUCUCCCUGUGUUUCAACGUCUCCCAGCGUGACAAAGUCAUUUUGGCUUUGUUCAAGAGGCAUUUGAAGUGCGGAACGCUGCGCUCCAGAAAAGACGGUGUUUGGUAUUACGAAGUCAACAAUCAUCGAGCGAUUUGCGAGAAUGUGAUCCCAUUCUUUAAUCAGUUCGGAUUCUUGUCGGCUAAGAAAAAGCGCGAUUUUGCGAAAUUCAAGCAGGUCGCGGCGCUUAUUAGCGAGGGAGCACAUCUGACUGAAGACGGAAUUAGACGGAUUCUUGAGAUUCGCAGUGACAUGAACGAUGGCGGUGCGCGAAGACGUAAGUACUCGGACACCGAAAUCGUCCAAGUAUUGCUUCAAAGCAAUGUGACGGGAAAAUCCUCAGAGACUACACGCCAAGCCGCUUCAUUGAACUCAUGCAAGUGAUGCAAUGGCGCGGAUGAUAUAGUCCGAACUCUGUGGCGACAUAGAGAGCCAGACGGAAACGAUCUGGCCGGUUCGACAACUUUUCGAACUAGUAACAAACUUGAACGGUCCUAAGGUAAAGGUUUAUUCGUUGCCUUAGUAAAAUCUGGCUAUAUGCUGGGAACUCCGAGUAUCCGUCGGUACUUGCUUCUGCAAGUGACAAUCCGGCGGUGCGGACAAUCAGCAGGAAAGACCGGCAAAUCAAUGCUUUGCGAACUUAUGCAUAGCAGAGACUUGACGGAAUCCUCAGAGACUACACGCCAGACCGCAAAUCUCGUGAAGAUGAGCGGAAGAUAUAGUCCGAACUAUGUGGCGACACGUAGAGCAGUCCACGAAAGUGGCUGCCGCCUCAAUUUUUCGCCAGUAAUGGCGAUGAUGCUUUGAGGUCUGGUCGCAUGCUCAUGCGACCCAAGUAACAGCACGAGCGAAAUUCCUUGUCGGGUAAGUUCCGACCUGCACGAAUGGCGUAACGAUGGCCACACUGUCUCCACCCGAGACUCAGUGAAAUUGAAUUCGCGGUCAAGAUGCCGUGUACCCGCGGCUAGACGAGAAGACCCCGUGAACCUUUACUACAGCUUCACACUGAACUUUGAUCUAUCUUGUGUAGGAUAGGUGGGAGGCUUUGAAGCCUGGGCGCCAGCCCGGGUGGAGCCAUCCUUGAAAUACCACCCUGGUUAGGUUGGAGUUCUAACUCAGGCCCGUUAUCCGGGUCGAGGACCGUGUGUGGUGGGUAGUUUGACUGGGGCGGUCUCCUCCUAAAGAGUAACGGAGGAGCGCGAUGGUGCGCUCAGCAUGGUCGGAAAUCAUGCAAUGCGUGUAAAGGCAAAAGCGCGCCUGACUGCGAGACCGACGGGUCGAGCAGGGUCGAAAGACGGUCUUAGUGAUCCGGUGGUUCUGUAUGGAAGGGCCAUCGCUCAACGGAUAAAAGGUACUCCGGGGAUAACAGGCUGAUACCGCCCAAGAGUUCACAUCGACGGCGGUGUUUGGCACCUCGAUGUCGGCUCAUCACAUCCUGGGGCUGAAGCAGGUCCCAAGGGUAUGGCUGUUCGCCAUUUAAAGUGGUACGCGAGCUGGGUUUAGAACGUCGUGAGACAGUUCGGUCCCUAUCUGCCGUGGGCGUUUGAGAUUUGAGAGGAGCUGCUCCUAGUACGAGAGGGCCGGAGUGGACGAACCUCUGGUGUUCCGGUUGUCACGCCAGUGGCACCGCCGGGUAGCUAUGUUCGGACGGGAUAACCGCUGAAAGCAUCUAAGCGGGAAGCCCCCCUCAAGAUGAGAUCUCACCGAAUCUUCGGAUUCAUGAAGGGCCCUUGUAGACGACAAGGUUGAUAGGCGGGAUGUGUAAGCGCCGCGAGGCGUUCAGCUAACCCGUACUAAUUGCCCGUUUGGCUUGGCCAU
rnacentral:rRNA from 1 species